rnacentral:lncRNA from 1 species
UUUUAUUAUCCACUAUUUAAGCAAUUCUCUUGCCCCUGACUUUGUUCCAGUUUAACCGAGUAAGCGUCACAGUUUCGCUGUUUUCAAAGUGUAAAUCUUAGUCGUCGACGUUACACGGAAGAAGGCAGCUCAGGAGAAUUUGAGUCUGUUUCUGUUUCGUUUUUUUCUAAACCUAAUUUAGUGGGAGAGACAACACUGCAGUACCUCUCAGAGGUAGACUCUCUCUUAAAACGGCGUACAGAACAUACGGCGUGUCUUUUUGGGACUCACUCUGCGACCACUCCCACCAGCGAGAAUGGGACCACCACUUUCAGCACAUCGGCCAGCGAGAAGUCCUUAUCUGACUGCAGAAAGUGUAUACUUCAGAUUUUUGGAAGAAUGUGUAUUCCUGAUACCGAUUCAGGCGACACUGGGAGCUCACUACGGGCUGGACUGACCUCAGAUGCUUUCAUCAUUCUGCCGUUGAUGCAACGGAGCCAUCUCGGGUGGCAGAGUCGGGAGCAACUUCAGGCAUCAGCACGUCGUUUGUUCUGGUGUAGCUGGCGGUUUCUGCAUGAAGCGAUCACAUUAGACAGUAAGAGCUGCCAGUUUAAGGAUUUAAUAGACAAGUAAUUAAUUUAACUGAGACGCUUCGGUGAAAACCAUAAAUACCAUCUGUGGCUUCUCCUUUGACACGUUUUUGCCAAAGUUUCCUCCUUCCUUCCUUCCUCUCUACGAUUUCUGAAAAAUAAAAGUAAUAAGCAGGCUUUGUACCUCUCGAUUUAGUAACAUUGUGAAUCCUUAGGCCCUCGGUGUGGGCGCUGCUGUCCUAUUAAACACACUUUUAUGGAAAGCUCACUGUGUACAAGGCCUUGGGAUGGAUGUUUUCAUACGAUGCCUCAUGGAAUCGGAUAAUCCCGGGCAAGUCUUGGGCUCC